rnacentral:rRNA from 1 species
GAUGAACGCUAGCGGCAGGCUUAACACAUGCAAGUCGAGGGGCAGCACGGAAGUGGUAACACUUUUGGUGGCGACCGGCGGACGGGUGCGUAACGCGUAUGCAACCUACCGACAACGUGGGGAUAACGGAUGGAAACUUCCACUAAUACCUGAUAAGCUCAGUGGAGUCAUUCGCGGCGGUUUAAAGAAUUUUGUUUGUUGACGGGCAUGCGUAACAUUAGUUAGUUGGUGGGGUAACGGCUCACAGAGGCUACGUUGGUUAGGGGGUCUGAGAGGUUAACCCCCCACACUGGAACUGAGACACGGUCCGGACUCCUACGGGAGGCAGCAGUGAGGAAUAUUGGUCAAUGGGCGAAAGCCUGAACCAGCCAUGCCGCGUGCAGGAAGACGGCUCUAGGAGUUGUAAACUGCUUUUAUACGAGGGUAAUUGCGCGCACGUGUGCGUGUUUGAAAGUAUCGUAUGAAUAAGGAUCGGCUAACUCCGUGCCAGCAGCCGCAGUAA